rnacentral:snRNA from 1 species
AGCUUUAUGUAGUGGCAGCAUCAUAGCCAAUGAGAUUUACCCGAGGCAUGAUUAUUGCUAAUUGAGUUAUUUAUGCUUUGAGUUUCUCAUAUAAGAGAAAUGAUACAGUUUUUAAAUGUGUGUGUCUGACA